GGGCCUGUAGCUCAAUGGUUAGAGCCGGCCGCUCAUAACGGUCUGGUUGGGGGUUCGAGUCCCUCCGGGCCCA
rfam:Nitrobacter sp. 62-23 SCNpilot_cont_300_bf_scaffold_508, whole genome shotgun sequence.